GUAUUUUGAAGGUGGGUUUGGUUAGGAAAAGUUACUUUAAGUCCAUUGGAAAAUGGCGCCAUGGAGGGUGAUAGCCCCGUAAAAGUAUCCCUUUUCCUUUUAUCCAUUCCCUCCAAAGAGUCGAGUUGUUUGGGAAUGCAGCUCUAAGUGGGUGGUAAAUUCCAUCUAAAGCUAAAUAUUGGCGAGAGACCGAUAGCGAACAAGUACAGUGAUGGAAAGAUGAAAAGCACUUUGAAAAGAGAGUGAAAAAGUACGUGAAAUUGUUGAAAGGGAAGGGCUUGCAAGCAGACACAACCUCGGUUGGGCCAGCAUCGGAGUGGGGGGAGACAAAAAAGAAAAGGAAUGUAACUCAUUGAGUAUUAUACCCUUUUUCUCAUAUCUCCACCCCCUUCCGAGGCCUGCKAUUCUUCAAGGAUGCUGGCGUAAUGGUUGCAAGU
rnacentral:rRNA from 1 species